AAAAACCUAACAUCUGCUAAUAACUAAAGUUAAAAUUCCAUACUCACACACAACAACGCACAAAUCAAUCCACAAAUCAAUCAACAAACCUUCUACAACACCAAACCACACACAACCACUACCAAACCCUAAAUUCACAAACUUAAAAUCUACGAGAUCUGAAAACUGUAACAAUAAUUCGCAAAUUAACGUCCGUUCAUACCCGUAGUGUUCUGGAAGCUUCUGAAAUAACCGCCCAUGAGCUUCCGUAACGGAAAUCAGCGAAGAAGAUAAACAAUUGGCGAUUGCACGGCGGAGCGGCUUCGACGGUUUUUUUUGGAGGAAGAAGAUCUGAUAGCCCUAGAAACACCACCAACGCCACUGAGCUGCAGCUUGGAGCUGGUUGCAGGGCUCCGAGGGUUACUGUUGAAGCUCGUAGACAUGGUGAAGAAACAGUUGUUGGUGGUGGUGGUGUUGGUGGAAAUCAGCAGUGGUGAUGAUGGCGGUGGUGGUGGUUGUGGCGGAGGGUGGUUGUGGCAGUGGUGAUAGUGGUGGUGGGCUGGGUGGUGAUGGCGGUGGUUUUUUAAAAGGAGUGAGAGAUGUGUCUGCUAGAGAAAGUAAAGAGAGAUAGUUAGACUAAGGGCGUUUUUGUAAUUUUACAUUCACUUAACUGAAUUAUUUAAUGCCUAUCCAUUACAGG
rnacentral:lncRNA from 1 species